GAUGAACGCUGGCGGCGUGCUUAACACAUGCAAGUCGAACGAAGCACUUUAUUACGAUUUCUUCGGAAUGACGAUUUAGUGACUGAGUGGCGGACGGGUGAGUAACGCGUGGGUAACCUGCCUUAUACAGGGGGAUAACAGUUAGAAAUGACUGCUAAUACCGCAUAAGCGCACAGGAUUGCAUGAUCUGGUGUGAAAAACUCCGGUGGUAUAAGAUGGACCCGCGUCUGAUUAGCUAGUUGGUGAGGUAACGGCCCACCAAGGCGACGAUCAGUAGCCGGCCUGAGAGGGUGAACGGCCACAUUGGGACUGAGACACGGCCCAAACUCCUACGGGAGGCAGCAGUGGGGAAUAUUGCACGAUGGGGGAAACCUGAUGCAGCGACGCCGCGUGAGUGAUGAAGUAUUUCGGUAUGUAAAGCUCUAUCAGCAGGGAAGAGAAAUGACGGUACCUGACUAAGAAGCACCGGCUAAAUACGUGCCAGCA
rnacentral:rRNA from 1 species